GUGGAGAGCUUUCAUUUUUCCCAAGAGAAAGCAAAUAAUGUUAGAGCAAUAAUUCCAGUAUCCGAAUUAGUCUUAUCCCUUGGCUCGCUUUAAUAUUAUUUCUCCCUAAUACUCCCUUAACCGCAUCCCCCUGGUGCGGUUAUUUUU
rfam:Listeria monocytogenes EGD-e, complete genome